GACUUGAUAAAAACCAAAAUUGUGGACACAACCGUAUUUGCCGCGACUUUUCUUCCGCACCGUAUCUGGUCCCGCGCUAUUGGUCGCGCGUGUUUCUUCUUCGCGGCAUUUUCUCGUCGCGCCGCCAGUUCGCGAGCUUCCAGGUCGCCGCUGUUUCCUGUUACCUGUAUCUGAGACGCUGCAGGUCGUCAUCGAGGGCUUCCUGCCAUAGAGACCUUCCUAUCAUAGAGUCCUUCGUCCUGCUGCCGUGGACUGCAAGUCGUCAUCGAUCUCCAAGAUUUGUCACCACGCGCGAAGAGUCCCCCACGCGCGGGAGUAGCGCGGGAGGAGCGCACGAUUGGCGUUUGCCAAUCGGCCCGCGGCCUUGCAUUUAUGCCAAGUUUCCUCCCCCAAUUGCCAAGUUGCCCAAAUUGCAAAACACAAAUGCAAAACUGUUGGAUACCUCAUUUCCAUAAUUUUGGUAAAUUACAGGAAUACAAACCCCAAAUGCAAAACUGUUGGAGAUGCUCAGAGAUGAGUUUUUCUCUUUUCCCCCAAAAAAUAUGCAUGGGAAAGGCAUAUGGGGUAAUCUUGGAGAUGCUGACAACCGGUGCAGGCAAAAGCAUCAAUAGAUGAGAAUGACACAAGUACCCCUCUAGCAUUGCACGUACACACAACAUUGCUUACUAGAGAAAGGUUGAGUGUAAUAUGGAUAGAGUUGUGGACCAGAGCCAUCCUUAAAAGCUAACCUAUAAUAUAAUGAAGCUAAUGAGACUUCGCCUAAAGUACAAAUCUGUGAUAGAAGUUUUAUAUGGUGUUGUUUAUGCUCAAUUUAGUAUGUGGAAGCUUUCUCCACAGUUUAGGCACUAUAAAUAAAGGAAAGAUGCAACCAAGUUUCUUCUUCUAGUUUUGCAUGUGAUAAGAUAACCAUAGUGCUGCUAAUAGGCAUAGCCUAAGUUACUAGCUUUAAGAAACAAUGCUUUAUAAGUGGGAAGAUUAUGAAGAAAUAUUUUUCUGACGUUGAUAAAAUUCAAUCAUUAGAAAGAAGCAAUAGCUAAAUGCCAAAUUUAUGGGGAGCCUUACAUCGCCCUACAAUAUAGAGCCAGAACAAGCAACAAUACUAUGAGGAACUGUUUUCAGAAGAGAUGUAAAAAAAAUCCAAAUUAAUAAAAAUUUAAAAAAUAAAAUCAUGUAUCAAUGAAUAAAAAUAAAGACUUUUUGACAUUUUGUGGUAAGUACAAACCCAAUUAUCAAAUGGACAAGCUUAUAAAUGUUAGUUGAGCUAUAAAGUAAGCUAAAUUAAGGUUUCAUAUUUUAGUCUCAAGAUUCUAAUCUAAAUGCUCAAGUUUUCCAUGAGCCAAUGGAUACUAGCAACUAAAGAGUUUCGUAUUAGCAGUGAUAAUUCAAUACUAGCAAGUCAACAGUAGUACAUUUUCACCAAACAAAACAACAUUACUUGGUGAAACUGUAAAUUGACUAGAAAUCUGAGGUCACCUGAGAAGUUACUACAACAUGGACAACAAAAUCAUACUUUUAGAAAGCACUACAUUUUCGGUGCAACAAUUCUAAAUAUCAAUCUAAGUUGGGUCUCUAGCCUAGUGGUUAGAGCAUAGCAUCCAGUAGACUUAGAUUCGACUCCCAUGGGAGCAAAUAAAAUAGGUCUAGAAUAAAAAAAAUACAAAAAAUAGGUUGGGGAUUCCCCCUACAUGUCAAAAAGUAUCGAUCUAAGUUGUCUAAUUCUCCACAAGGGGUGACAUUUUGUAGUUAAGUUAACAGUAAUUUCCUACAGUUAGGCAUCAAAGAAAGAAAACAAAUAAGCUAGCGUGUCAAUCCCAAAUAUUCUCAUCAAAGGAACAAAUCAAACAAAACCUAGUGCCCCUAAUCCCAAAUGUUCACAUAGAAGAGGAAAAUUAUAAAUAAUUCCUUUUAGCAGCAAGAAUUCUCAUGCCCAAAGGAAAUGAUGGUGUUGAUAAUCCACCGGAGCUGACCCAUCACAACGAGGUACGUCAGGACGACAACAAAGGUGAGGUUCCCUACAACCUAGCUGUUGCCGAUAUCCACACGCCUCCUGCUGCCACCAAAGAAGGGGCCUCUCCUAGCUCUAGUCAUGCCAAGUCAUCAUCCUUGUGUUCCCGUCGUUCUCCAAGCCAAGCCCCCUCUUUUACCCAGUAACUUGCUCUGGUCCAAUGACCUCACUGUGGAGCAGACCACUUUUGAGAAUUUUGGAGCC
rnacentral:lncRNA from 1 species